AUUGAACGCUGGCGGCAUGCCUUACACAUGCAAGUCGAACGGCAGCACGGGGCAACCCGGUGGCGAGUGGCGAACGGGUGAGUAAUGCAUCGGAACGUGCCAUUGAGUGGGGGAUAACGUAGCGAAAGUUGCGCUAAUACCGCAUAUUCUGUGAGCAGGAAAGCAGGGGACCGCAAGGCCUUGCGCUCUUUGAGCGGCCGAUGUCAGAUUAGCUAGUUGGUGAGGUAAAGGCUUACCAAGGCGACGAUCUGUAGCGGGUCUGAGAGGAUGAUCCGCCACACUGGAACUGAGACACGGUCCAGACUCCUACGGAGGCAGCAGUGGGGAAUUUUGGACAAUGGGCGCAAGCCUGAUCCAGCCAUGCCGCGUGAGUGAAGAAGGCCUCGGUUGUAAG
rnacentral:rRNA from 1 species